GUGCUUGCUUGGCUGCAUCUAUUCUAAAAUUGGAAUUCUACAGAGAAGAUUAGCAUGGUUCUGUGCAGAGAUGACUCACAUUUUAGCAUUUGCAAAUAACA
rnacentral:snRNA from 1 species